rnacentral:rRNA from 1 species
UACGUAGGGUGCAAGCGUUAAUCGGAAUUACUGGGCGUAAAGCGUGCGCAGGCGGUUAUAUAAGACAGAUGUGAAAUCCCCGGGCUUAACCUCGGAACUGCAUUUGUGACUGUAUAGCUAGAGUACGGGAGAGGGAGAUGGAAUUCCGCGUGUAGCAGUGAAAUGCGUAGAUAUGCGGAGGAACACCGAUGGCGAAGGCAA